UACGGGGGGGGGCAAGCGUUGUUCGGAAUUACUGGGCGUAAAGGGCUCGUAGGCGGCCAACUAAGUCAGACGUGAAAUCCCUCGGCUUAACCGGGGAACUGCAUCUGAUACUGGAUGGCUUGAGUUCGGGAGAGGGAUGCGGAAUUCCAGGUGUAGCGGUGAAAUGCGCAGAUAUCAGGAAGAACACCCGUGGCGAAGGCGGCUCUCUGGGACGGUACUGACGCUGAGACGCGAAAGCGUGGGGAGCGAACAGG
rnacentral:rRNA from 1 species